UACGGAGGGGGCUAGCGUUGUUCGGAAUUACUGGGCGUAAAGCGCACGUAGGCGGCUUUGUAAGUUAGAGGUGAAAGCCCGGGGCUCAACUCCGGAAUUGCCUUUAAGACUGCAUCGCUAGAAUUGUGGAGAGGUAAGUGGAAUUCCGAGUGUAGAGGUGAAAUUCGUAGAUAUUCGGAAGAACACCGGUGGCGAAGGCGACUUACUGGACACAUAUUGACGCUGAGGGGCGAAAGCGUGGGGAGCAAACAGG
rnacentral:rRNA from 1 species